rnacentral:tRNA from 1 species
GGAGAAAUGGCUCAGUGGUCCAGAGCACUGGCUGCUCUUCCAGAGGACCUGGGUUCAACUCCCAGUACCCACA